rnacentral:rRNA from 1 species
CAGUAGCCGCGGUAAUACGAAGGGGGCUAGCGUUGUUCGGAAUUACUGGGCGUAAAGCGCACGUAGGCGGACAUUUAAGUCAGGGGUGAAAUCACGGGGCUCAACCCCGGAACUGCCUUUGAUACUGGGUGUCUAGAGUAUGGAAGAGGUGAGUGGAAUUCCGAGUGUAGAGGUGAAAUUCGUAGAUAUUCGGAGGAACACCAGUGGCGAAGGCGGCUCACUGGUCCAUUACUGACGCUGAGGUGCGAAAGCGUGGGGAGCAAACAGGAUUAGAUACCCGCGUAGUCCCUGUCUCUUAUAC